rnacentral:rRNA from 1 species
UGGGGAAUAUUGGACAAUGGGCGCAAGCCUGAUCCAGCCAUGCCGCGUGAGUGAUGAAGGCCCUAGGGUUGUAAAGCUCUUUCACCGGUGAAGAUAAUGACGGUAACCGGAGAAUAAGCCCCGGCUAACUUCGUGCCAGCAGCCGCGGUAAUACGAAGGGGGCUAGCGUUGUUCGGAUUUACUGGGCGUAAAGCGCACGUAGGCGGACUAUUAAGUCAGGGGUGAAAUCCCGGGGCUCAACCCCGGAACUGCCUUUGAUACUGGUAGUCUUGAGUUCGAGAGAGGUAAGUGGAAUUCCGAGUGUAGAGGUGAAAUUCGUAGAUAUUCGGAGGAACACCAGUGGCGAAGGCGGCUCACUGGCUAGAUACUGACGCUGAGGUGCGAAAGCGUGGGGAGCAAACAGG